ensembl:lincRNA Gm14268 predicted gene 14268
GGUAAGGACAGGCACCUGGGGACAGGGAGUGGGGCUGGCAGGAAGAGGUGCCUCCCAGAGGCAGGAGCAAUGGUGGCGGCGGCGGCAGCAGCAGCAGCAGCAGCUUUGAGGAGAACCUGAGACUUGGCAAGGGAAAAUCUUGGUAACACACUGUAACAGCACCAGUCUCCUGCGGUGUGCUUACCUCACCCAACUAGCCUGGAAGUCCUGAAAGAGUGAUGACUCUCUCCUCAGCGCUGGAGACUUGUCUCCAGGCCCGUGUGGGACAGUGGACCAUGCCAGGAAACUUGGGCUGAAAGCACGGAAUACGUGAACAUCCUAAACCUACAUCCUCACUGUUGCCUCCAUUAUCCUGGGACUGCAUACACAGUUGAACCCAGCUAGAUAGGAGGGCCAUGUGCAGGUGAGCGGCGAAGGUCCCUCCCCCUUCACAGCUCCAUCUUUGAUGUCAAGACACAGAUGUGAUCACCUCUGUUGUCCAGAUCACUUCUGUUUCCCAUUGUCACCCCAGCCUUAGCCCAAGGUCUCUCCAGCUAUAUGAAUGUUAGCUCCAUGUUCCACCAUGGUGGGCCUGGAGGAGGAGGCCCAUCAUUUCCUAAUAUCGAACAGGCAUCAUGGAUCCAGGUCCUCAGCUCCAGGCCUUUCCCACGCCUGGCUCCACAAGCUGCAAGGCCAAAGGGCAGAAGGG